CACGGAGGCACCAAGCGUUGUCCGGAUUUAUUGUGCGUAAAGAGCUCGUAGGCGGUUCAGUAAGUCGGGUGUGAAAACUUUGGGCUUAACCCAAAGCGUGCAUCCGAUACUGCUGUGACUUGAGUUCGGUAGGGGAGUGGGGAAUUCCUAGUGUAGCGGUGAAAUGCGCAGAUAUUAGGAGGAACACCGGUGGCGAAGGCGCCACUCUGGGCCGAAACUGACGCUGAGGAGCGAAAGCAUGGGUAGCAAACAGG
rnacentral:rRNA from 1 species